GGCCUAUUGAUUAUAAUUUUAGGUCGAUCUGCUCCAUGAAAUAAAUUUAAAUAGCUGCAGUAUAUUGACUGUACAAAGGUAGCAUAAUAAAUUGUCUUUUAAUUGAAGAAUUGAAUGAAUGAAUUGAUGAAAUAACAACUGUCUCUAUUUUAUAUAAUGAAUUUAAAUUUUUAGUAAAAAUUCUAAAAUUUAAUUAUGGGACGAUAAGACCCUAUAGAAUUUUAUUUAAUAUAAUUAUUUAUUUAAAUUAUUUUUGAAUAUAUAAUUAAUUUAAAUUUGAUUGGGAGGAUUGGUAAAUAUAAAUAACUUUAUCUAAUAAUUAAUUUUAAUGAAAAGAUUUAUUUUGACUUAUAAUUUAUGAUUAAAAGAAUAAAUUACCUUAGGGAUAACAGCGUAAUAUCUUUUGAUAGACCACAUUGAUAAAGAUGUUUGCGACCUCGAUGUUGAAUUAAGAGAAAAGUUAAACGCAGGAGUUUAAAAUUUUAAGUCUGUUCGACUUUUAAAAUCUU
rnacentral:rRNA from 1 species